rnacentral:lncRNA from 1 species
GUCCUUACGGCAUAAGCUCCAUGUCCAUCUUCCCUCUGGGCUCUUCCCUUUGGUUCCAAAGAGCUUAUUGUAGAAGUUAAAAAAAAACAUACAGUAAAGUGAUUAUCAUAAUCCUAAUUAUCCUCUAGGCAAUGCAGAAAAGAAAAAACAUAAGGAUAAACAUAUUGAGAUUUGCUCUUGCUCCAGCACAAUUCCCUGAAAGGCUUCUUCUAAGCCUGGUAUCCUGGGAGUGGCAGUGUUUUCAGCGUGGCAGACAGAGCAGUCAGGAAGCUGGGAGCCCAAACAGCGUGAGACAAAGCCACAAAACAGAGGCCGCGCAUCAGUCGAAUAGCACUCCUAUUUACUUAUCUUUGGAGCCUCCCAGGAGGAAUAAAACAACAGAACUGGAGACCUGUUCUUGUGCUUUGGCCUUCCUGCCCAGGAUGGGAGGGUAAAGGUCUGGG